CCUACGGGUGGCAGCAGUGAGGAAUAUUGGUCAAUGGACGAGAGCCUGAACCAGCCAAGUAGCGUGAAGGAUGACUGCCCUAUGGGUUGUAAACUUCUUUUAUAUGGGAAUAAAAUGUUCCACGUGUGGGAUUUUGUAUGUACCAUAUGAAUAAGGAUCGGCUAACUCCGUGCCAGCAGCCGCGGUAAUACGGAGGAUCCGAGCGUUAUCCGGAUUUAUUGGGUUUAAAGGGAGCGUAGGUGGAUUGUUAAGUCAGUGGUGAAAGUUUGCGGCUCAACCGUAAAAUGGCAGUUGAAACUGGCAGUCUUGAGUACAGUAGAGGUGGGCGGAAUUCGUGGUGUAGCGGUGAAAUGCUUAGAUAUCACGAAGAACUCCGAUUGCGAAGGCAGCUCACUGGACUGCAACUGACACUGAGGCUCGAAAGUGUGGGUAUCAAACAGGAUUAGAUACCCCAGUAGUC
rnacentral:rRNA from 1 species